CCUAGGUGAUGAAAGAGCUGGGGCAGAGAAUUCCCCAUCUUAUCUUAGAUCUCGAUGGCAAAGGUUGUACCAGGGGCCAGUUUACUCUCAAAUGGUGUUCCUUGGCUCUCUGUCCUCUUUGCUAUGCUCUUUGUAUUUUUUCUUUUUGUCAUGUUCUCUCCCCUUUUACUUGAGAUAGACCAACAUAUAAAGAAAUUCUUGAUCAGAUGUAGAUAUUUUCUGCGUAAUGCUGUGCAUAAGAAUAAAGAAAAUGAGACACAGAUGGACAAUCUGGGAAGGCCAGACUGUCCCCUGGAGUCACCAAGGGGAGAAGUUCUGGGAGGGAAGGAAGAUGGGAUGGGGAAAGAUCCCUUACUAUUUGUGAGGGUAGCAAGAGAGCCCAGGGAUUCUGAGAAUUGUACCCCUGGGUCAUCAGUUUGAGAGUGGAUGAAGCUGAAACAAUCACCUGUGACAUCAUAUAUCAGACAGGGGAGGGCUUUUGAGACCCUUGUUAUCAAUGGUUAUACUGGAAAAAAAUAAAUAUUUUGAGUCUCUCAGAAAA